rnacentral:pre_miRNA from 1 species
UGCAGAAGAAAGAUCUUGAAGUGAGAGACACUUUCACUAUAUAUAUAUAUAGUGGCUCCCACUUCCAGGUCUUUCUCUCUGUG